AAGAUUCUUUCUUCGACUACCCUGUAUUGAAAGGGACGAUGAACACAAUAAUUAAAAAAUUACGUGAAACGAAAAUCGAAAAAUGACUCAUCGAAAGGGUUUUGAAUUUUUAGCUACGGCGGCUUUGUCGGGCUUUACCCAAGAUUUUCGACUCACUCAUCGUUCCUUUUGCUCCGAUUUUGCCAUAGAGUUACUCGAAAUCGAAUUUCGAAUGAAUAUGGAAAUUUUUUUUAUCUUUUUUGGCGGUUGGCGAUGGCUCCAGUGUGGCACCGGUCUACGGUUGGCCUCCUUCUCCAGCGUCUGAUUCUUCUUCUACAACUGGACUAGCGACUAGGGUUUAGGUUCUCGUGUGAUGCGAAAUAUUUAUAACAAUUCUGUAUUAAUAUGCACCGUCCAUCGCGAUCGAUCUCGUUCGUCCUAUCGCGCUUAAGGAAGAAACAAAUUUGAACUAUUCAUUACGAUUAAUUUCAACCGUCUGAUCGUGCCUAAUGAAAAAACAUAUCCAGGUCAUCCACGCGCGUGGGAUCGAUCUUGGGCAUCAAAUCGCGGGGCACACGGAUCGCCAGCGUGGCCUCCCACAUGGCACCGACAUCAGCGCACCUUGUCACACAAAGCGCUCUGGUUCAUCAAGGCUGCUGACUGAAUGAUCUUACGUGGUUGAAC
rnacentral:lncRNA from 1 species